CUCCCUCAGACCUAUCAGAAUCCUUCCCUAUGCUAAUUGUUGCUUCCCUCCUCAGGAGAAGAACUGUGAGAGGAAAUGAAGUGCAAUGGAGGAAGCUUUGGACUAAGAAUAUGUAGACAUGAAAUCCAGCUCUUACUUUGAUACUUACUAGCUAUGAAAUAUUAAGGCUUACUUAAUACUUCUAAUCCUCAGUUUUCUCAUUUGUGAAACAGAGGUAAUAAUAAUUGUUUUAUUUUACCUGACAAGAUUCUUGUGAAGAAGAAAGGAAGGAAGUAAAGAUAACAGGAAAAGAGGAAGAACAAAAACAAGCAAUGAAAGAAAGAAGGAAAGCAAGAAGGAAGAAAGAAAAAAGGAGGAAGGAGGGAAAGAAAAUAGGAAAGAAGAAAGGAUGAAGAGAAAGAAAGAAAAAGAGAAGGAAUGAGGAAAUAAAGAAAGAAAAAAGGAAGAGAGGAAAGAAGGAGGAAGAAAAAAGGAAGUAAGGAAGUGGAAAAACUGAGGCUUGAAGAGAUGAAGUAAUUUCAUGGUUCCCACAGCUAAAGAUGAGAAGAUUGAAGGCAUGAUGACACAUAGGAGAAACAAAAGAUGCGAAGAUUCUACAACUCAUUCAAGAUGGUGCUAUGAUUUUGACUCUAUGAUUCCAAGCAUCCAGGAGGUAAAUCAACUGCCUGGAUAUUAAAGAGGUAAGAUAACUUAUCCAAACUCUGAUAAGCUCUAGAAGGAGGACUUGAACUCUUGUCUUCUGAAU
rnacentral:lncRNA from 1 species